CUGAGAUCCGCAAGGUGCAUAGGUUUUAACUCUUUCUGAGAUCCGCAAGGUGCAUAGGUUUUAACUCUUUCUGAGAUCCGCAAGGUGCAUCAUCGACCGAUCUGAAUGGUUUCCUGAAAGAUUUGAGUAAGAGCAUAUGUUGGGACCCGAAAGAUAGUGAACUAUGCCUGAAUAGGGUGAAGUCUGAAGAAAUUCAGAUGGAAGCUCGUAGCGAUUCUGACGUGCAAAUCGAUCGUCAAAUUUGGGUAUAGGGGCGAAAGACUAAUCGAACUAUCUAGUAGCUGG
rnacentral:ncRNA from 1 species